CCCUUAGAUGUCCGGGGCUGCACGCGCGCUACACUGAAGGAAUCAGCGUGCUAAAACCAUUGUCGAAAGGCAUUGGUAAACCCAUUAAAAUCCUACGUGAUUGGGAUCGGGAAUUGCAAUUAUUUCCCUUGAACGAGGAAUUCCCAGUAAGUGUGGGUCAUAAGCUCGCGUUGAUUACGUCCCUGCCCUUUGUACACACCGCCCGUCGCUGCCCGGGGCUGAGCCGUUUCGAGAAAAGCGGGGACUGCUGCUGUCGGGGCUUUCGGGCCUUGGCUUCGGUGGAAACCGCUUUAAUCGCAGUGGCUUGAACCGGGCAAAAGUCGUAACA
rnacentral:rRNA from 1 species